GUUACCGUGUAAACACGCUCCCUCUGGGCUAUGCGGAGGAGCGCGCUGGGCCGCUUGGGACCGGAGCUGAAUUGAGAGCCGCCCCCUCCCGCCAACACCAUGUCCUCCUCCACCCGGGCCGGCAAGGGCAAGAAGCAUAGCGUCGUCGUCAGCGUGACAUCAAAGCUGGAGUUAAAUAUGAAGAGGGCAUCUAUUUCAGGAACUAGCAACCAAAAACAAAUGAGCUAUGUUAGUGGUUUCAGCCCAAGCAGAGUUGGAUCACUGAGUCGAAGAAGCAUACUGAUAGCUUCUGAUGGCAAAACUAUGGAUAAGGGGUCUCUCAUAGGGAGUAAGCAUACCAUUCAGGUUUUUGAUGAGCAAGGGAAGGAUGUAACACCCCGUCCACUCUAUCGUCCAGAACCAAGUGCUUCGCUACACAGACAAAGCAAAAUCUUAUCAACCCAGGAUUUCUCUGGGGCUACUGGAUCUGAUUUUCUGUCUUCCUUAUCCAUGCAUCAGACAUCUGGAGUUAAUGCUAGUUUAGUAGGUCCAUUCUCAAGGACAUAUGGAAGCAGCAGUAUUUCUAAAUCAACCACAUCUACAACUGAGUCUAUGGCAGAUGAAAUAGUAGAGCCUGGUUCCAGACGAGACACAGCUACUAGCUUAUCUGAUGUACAGGUGAGGCGAGAUGAGAUAAAAGAACAACUGACAAAAGAAGACAUUGAUAAGAGAGUGGAUAUUUACCUCAUGGAGACAGAAACUAUCUGGCUAUUGGACAUGCCAACUGUCAUGGUGUCCAUUGAAUCUGAAGAUGCUGAAAAAGUGCAGGAACAGAACAAGGAUUAUAUUGAGCUUUGUAAAAAUAGAGUUGGUAAUGAUCGCUUUGUGGAAAGGAUGAUGCAAACUCUUAAUGGAGCACCAAAGAAUAAAGAAGUACAAUGUGACAAAAUCCUCAUGGAGGAUAAAGGGAUAAUGGCCACUUCUUGGGACUUGUAUGAUUCCUUUUAUGCCUUGGAAACAACGCUUACACCUUCAGUAACUGAAAGAAGUAGCAGACCAACAAGUUUGACUAGCAGUAAAUCUAACGUGACCAAAGACCGUGAACGAACCAUGUCUACAACUUCUACAGAUAGAGAGAGCAUAACCUCAAGUUCUAUAAUCGAUUUGGAAAGUGUUAUUCUUGCCAGAAUCCACAAAGAAGAGGAAGACCAUUCUGAAGCUAUAUUAAAAUCAGAAAAAUUUCAGCAGGAUUUAUUUUUUAUGGAAAGGGUUCUAAUGGAGAAUGUUUUUCAGCCCAAACUUGCAGCUUAUCGGCAACUUCCUGUUCUUAUAGAACCAGUUCUUACAUCUGAUGCUGGCAAAGAGGAAGCAGAAACAGAGGAAGCAGAAGAGGAGGAGCAGGAGGAGGAGGAAGGAGCGGGGGAGGAAGAGGAGGAAGAGCAAAAGGAAACAGUAGUUAGUUCAUCAAUUUUGUUAGAUCUGAGCGAAGCACCAGAAGAAAUCUUACCGCCCAGUCUGGAACGACUGUGGUCCUAUACAUGUGAAUCAACUAAUGGCCACAGUGUGAGCAGCAUGGCUUGGAACAAGCUAAAUCCAGAUCUUUUGGCUGUUGGUUAUGGGCAAUUUGGUUUUCAAGAACAGAAGAAAGGCUUGGCUUGCUGCUGGUCACUCAAGAACCCUAUGUGGCCAGAGCGUAUUUAUCAAUGUGAUCAUGGUGUUACUGCAUUGGAUUUCUCUCUGGCAAACCCAAACCUUUUAGCAGUUGGAAUGUACAGUGGCACAGUAGCCAUCUAUAAUGUACAGACCCGUAAUACCACAGCACUUUUGGACAGCAGUGAAUCUUUUGAUAAGCAUAUAGGUCCUGUGUGGCAGCUGAAGUGGAUCGAACAGGACAGGGGCACAACGGGAGAUGACAAAGGAGAGAUAUUAAUCUCUAUCUCAGCAGAUGGCAGAAUAACCAAGUGGCUUAUACGCAAAGGACUAGGCUGCACUGAUCUGAUGAAACUGAAGCGAACCGCAAGUGAAAGGAAAAAACUAACCGGUGAAAAAGAAAAGAAAAGUGAAGCUCUGAUAUCUCGACAGGCACCUGGAAUGUGCUUUGACUUUCAUCCAAGGAAUACUAAUAUAUAUCUGGCUGGAACAGAAGAAGGACAUAUUCACAAAUGUUCUUGUUCAUAUAAUGAGCAGUUCCUAGAGACCUACCGAGGUCAUAAGGGUCCUGUGUACAAGAUAGCAUGGAAUCCAUUCAGUACUGACAUGUUUUUAAGCUGCUCUGCGGACUGGAGUAUUAUUUUAUGGCGCCAAGAUUCACUAAGGCCCAUUUUAACUUUCAGUUCCACCACUGAUGUUGUUCAUGACAUUAUGUGGUCUCCAAAAUCAGCCUUUGUAUUUGCAGCAGUGAAUGAAGGCAGAGUGGAAAUUUGGGACCUGAGUGUCAGCACUUUGGACCCCCUGAUUGUGACUUUUGCCAACCCGGGAGUGAAAUUCACAACUGUGCUUUUUGCUAGAAACACAGACUGCAUUCUUAUAGGGGACAAUAAUGGAAUCGUAGGUGUGUAUGAGCUGAGGAACAUGACUGCUUCAGAUAGUAAUAAGACGAGCUCAUCAGCACAGGUGACCAUGCAGUCCCAGAAUCGAAAAAGAGCUCCAGCAUGGACCGAAUGGGAGGUACUGGAUCUGAUCGCUGUAUGGGGAGAGGAAUCCGUGCUAUCGGAACUAUGUUCCAAAAGACGAAAUGCCAAAACAUUUCAAAAAAAUCUCCGAGGCCAUGAGGGACAGAGGCUACAGCAGGGACGCAACACAGUGCCGCGUGAAACUUAAGGAGCUCAGACAAGCGUACCAGAAAACCAAAGAAUCAAACGGACGCUCCGGGACAGAGCCCCAGACAUGCCGCUUCUAUGCUGAGCUGCAUGCAAUUCUAGGGGGAGCCACCACCACUACCCCACCUCUGUCUGUGGACUCCAAUGAUGGGGUACUCUCCCCCAUGCCUGAGGAUUUUGCGGACGGGGAAGAUGAGGAGGAGGAGGACGAGCUUGAGGAGAGCACACAGCACACCAUUCUCCCUGACAGCCAGGAUCUUUUUAUCACCCUGACUGACAUUCCCAAUCCAACGCAGGCGGAGAAGGGACCUCUGCAGCUGCAAAUGUUUCAAGCCUCCCUCCUCCGUCCCAAAGGCUAUCUCAGAUAAGGUGGUGAAAAAAAAUGCACGCGCGAUGAAAUGUUCUCUGAGCUCAUGCAGUCGUCCGGCACUGCAGAGCUCAGCAGAAUGUGUGGAGGGACAAAAUAGCAGAGUACAGGAAAGUGGCCGAUGAACGUGAGGAGAGGUGGCAGCAGGAAGAUCAGAGGAGGCAUGAGGCAACGCUGGGGGCUACUGCGGGAUCAAACGGACAUGCUCCGCCAUCUGGUGGAGGUUCAGAAUGGCAGCAGGAUCACAGAGUGCCGCUGCAGCCCCUGUUUAACUGCCUUCCCUCCUCGCCAAGUUCCAUAGCCUCCUCACCCAGAUGCCCAAGAACGUGUGGGGGAGGCUCUGGGCACCCAACCACGCCACCCCAGUGGACAGCCCAAGCAACAGAAGGCUGUCAUUCAAGAAGUUUUAAAGUGGCCUUUUCCUUCCCUCCUCCCACACCCCACCCGGGCUACCUUUUGAGUUAUCUCCCUAUUUUUAUAAUCAAUUAAUAAAGAAUACAUGUUUUUUUAA